CCACAUUUAUAGAUUACCUUG
rnacentral:miRNA from 1 species